GGCUGGGUAGCUCAGUGGUAUUGAGAGCCAAGCCUAGAGGUGGGAGGUCCUAGGUUCGAAUCCAGCCUCAGCCA
rnacentral:tRNA from 1 species